AUACGUAGGUGGCGAGCGUUAUCCGGAAUUAUUGGGCGUAAAGAGCGCGCAGGUGGUUGAUUAAGUCUGAUGUGAAAGCCCACGGCUUAACCGUGGAGGGUCAUUGGAAACUGGUCGACUUGAGUGCAGAAGAGGGAAGUGGAAUUCCAUGUGUAGCGGUGAAAUGCGUAGAGAUAUGGAGGAACACCAGUGGCGAAGGCGGCUUCCUGGUCUGUAACUGACACUGAGGCGACGAAAGCGGUGGGGAGAC
rnacentral:rRNA from 1 species